UACUGACGAAACAUUCAGCUCUAACCGAAGAUGUAAAACAGUGAGCACUCCCGGUAAUGAAUAAUCCCAGUAACUGCAUCCAUAAGUGCUGUCUCAACUUGGCAGCGGACAGGUAUGUGAGAAAAAGACCCCAAAAUGCAAGGCAGAUUCCGAACAACAUGGGCUCGAUCUCCUCAGCAUGACACACAUCUUUGCUCCUUUUGACAGGUUUACCCAAGAUCAGAACUAAGCGGCACCUAUAGACUGCUUCAGCUCUAGUUCCCCUUUUCAAGUCUGCCAAGAAAGCUCUACUGGGUCUGCUUGCAUAUGCAGAUGGGAUGACUCAGCCUGCAGGAGAGAAGAGCAACAGUGGGUUCAAAUGUGCCUGAAUGCAGGAAAAUCCCAGAGAGAAGUUCCACAGAGUCAGCACUCUUGCAGAUGUCACGUGCUAAUGAGUCUAAGGACGUUUGUUAUAUUGCUGCUAUGGAAUUAUGAUGAUAAUGAUAUAAAUAGAUGAUGAUGAGCUAUCAGGGGUCUGUUGUUCUUGGUCUGGUGCUGCAUUAGCAGACGGCCAAGGACAGGGAUUAAGCCCACAGCCAAUGAUAGCUAUUCUACAGCCUCCAUGGACAGUUUUGUUACAUUGCUGGUACCAUUUCCACAGCUAAAGUUUGUUUUUUUCUUGUAGCUAACCUGAAUUUCGCUGCUCUCCCAACUCCAUCAUCUGUAUCAACCAGGUGUCAUUUCCAUCACACACUAGGAUAUGCAAGGUGUCACAGGGCCUCAGCAAUGCCAAAAAAUAGUCCAGAGUAAUUACACCAUUUCAGGCAGCCAGACAGGCUGAGAUCUCACGUACAGCCAGAUACCCUCUAAACUGUUUGGUCUCUCUAGUAGCAGAUUUAGGACUCUAGUGCUGUGUAGUGACCUACAUCAUAAACAAUAUGACCACAAAGAGAAGCUAUUUAGAGCUAAAUGAAUGGCCUAAAAACGGGAAGAUUUGGGGGAUUACCAGAUAUCUGAGGCUGGAUUUAGGUCCUAAUCCUAAAUAUUUGUCUGAUUUUCUGCACUAAAAUGAGAUUUGUGUGUGCUAGAAGUUUGUACCCCCUGCACUCAUACACAAAGGAAUGUCCAUAAUCAAAGCCCUGAGGACAACCCCCUCCUUUACCCUCCGUUUUCCUGCCUACCCCACUCUCAAAGUCACAGUCACCCCUUUCACCACCACCACCACAAUUAAAGGGGGCUGUUUCCAAAAGCUGGAGGCCCAAUCAUCCUUGUUCUGAGUACCACUUGCUCCUCCAAUCAAAUUACAGCGGAACUUCUAGUCUGGGCCCAAUACCAGGUAGUUAAGAGAUGCAAAUAGCAAGGUUUGCGCCCACAAUUUAGAUGUGGAUACAGACUGUGAUGGCAAGAGGGAGACUCCCUUCCUUCUUAAAGACCUGGCCCUCAAAGAUUUAAUGGUUUCUUUCAACUGAAGAAGCCUUUUGGAAGAGAUACCCUUGUCUUAUGACUGCAGAGGUGGUAACAGGUCACUCUAGCUGGAAUGGUUCCUUACAAUAUAUGUGCUAACUACUCAUACUAAACAAUCUUUUCCACCUUGCAUUUUGCUAUGAGGCUGGGAGUUCCCUUCCCAGACCUGAAGAAGAGCUCUGUCUGGCUCAAAAGCUUGUCUCUUUCACCGACAGAAGUUGGUUCAAUAAAAGUUA